rnacentral:rRNA from 1 species
CCCUUAGAUGUUCUGGGCCGCACGCGCGCUACACUGAUCAGUGCAACAAGCAUCCGUCCUUGGCCGACAGGCCCGGGCAAUCUUUGAACGCUGAUCGUGAUGGGGAUAGACUUUUGCAAUUUUUGGUCCUCAACGAGGAAUUCCUAGUAAACGCAAGUCAUCAACUUGCAUUGAUUACGUCCCUGCCCUUUGUACACACCGCCCGUCGCACCUACCGAUUGAAUGGUCCGGUGAAGCCUCCGGAUUGGCGUGCACCCUCGGGUGCUGCCGAGAAGUUGGCUAAACCUUACCAUUUAGAGGAAGGUGAAGUCGUAACA